UGCUGUUGUCUUAUAUAAAAAUGUGUAAGCUAUGUCUCAAAAUUGUAACUGAGAACGGCUGGGUUAAAAUUCAUGGAAUAAGAUAGAGUUCAACACUCUGCAUUUGAUUUGAACUCUUGACUCGGGGUAAAUGAUCUUCUGGGGUUGUCGUACUGGUAUUUCGGGGUAGACGCCGGCGUGGACAGUAGUGUAUCCGUGGUCGACGAGGGUUCGGACCAGCCACGUGCCGAUGAAUCCGUUGGCGCCGGUCACGCACACCGGUGGCUUACUGUCAGAUGUCUUAUCCGCCAUCUGUUUUUAUCGGCGUCAAUUACUGGUUAGUAGUUAACUGAGCUUGAACCCACAACCUCGGUUAUAAGAUUUGACCCCGAUCACAUGCCGCUGUCGUGCUAGUUGUUUCAGUUUCUAUCUAUUCACAGCAAUUGGUAUCAACUGUCUAGGAAAGUAGGGUUCUCAUCAAACAUGCUUUUUUCGGGCGGAUAAGGUUUUGAGAUAGGGAAAGAAGUAAAGUUAAAGAAUUGAGCGUUUCUCGGACGGAUAAUAUUUUGAGAUAAGAAAGAAAGAAAUUUAAGGACUUGCUAGGAUAGAAUAAGAGAAAAGGGGGAUAAGACUUGGUUUGGUUAAUAAUUGAUAUGAACGGAUAAGACGUAUAAGCUUUUCAAUUUAAGAAAAAGAAGGAAAGUCUUUUUUGUUGUUAUUCGUUAAACUUAAUUUACUCUAACGAAGAAGGGAAGUUAAAGAUGUUGAUAUGAUAGAAGGAGAAAGUAAUAAAGAAAAAGGAUAUGACUUGGUUUGUUUGGGAGUUGAUACAGAAGGAUAAGAUAGAUGGAGAAUGAAGUAAUGUGCCAAACUACUUGUCUAGUAUGACGAUAGAGAACUUAAAAACACCAUAUUUUUACCCCAACAUUCUAAUUGUCCACACACUGUUUUCCAUAGUAGAGUCUUACCAAAUUUCCUAAUCACUCCACAUGGCUUCCGCUGCGUCCAAUGCCACCUCUACAUGGCCCACAAGGCUAUGCAUUUGCAGAGCUGGUCCUUGCAUUCCCAGAAAAUCUGGCUCCUGCGCAAAGAACCCCGGCAAGUGGUACUAUGACUGCCCUCGUGACCCUUAGCCUUGCCAGGAGUGAAUGAUUGGUGCAAUGAAAACAUUCUGAAUGUGGCCCAUUCUCAUGAUGAUAGGUCAUUCCAAUUCACGAAGUCUUCCGAAGCUUACAACUUCAACGGCCACAACUUAAGUCAACACAUGUUAGCUAUAGAAAAUGCCGUCCGGACCUUACUGAUUAUUGGAAUUGUAAUUUGUGUCCUACUACUUGUUGUCCUAGUGCGUAUGCCAUAGUAAAUGUUUGGAUUAAAAAGUUAAGGUUAACUUAACGAAAGUCUUUAUCCAUGCAAAUGUGUUCAAAUAUGAACUAAGAUUUAGAAUUAAGACAAUAUGAAAGUUAACUUCACUUUUUUAAUCCAAACCCACUUGUACUCUAUGUUUUUGCAUGUACUUAUCUAUGUAAUAGUUGUACUACAUAAGACCUUGUAAUAUU